GGCUCAGGACGAACGCUGGCGGCGUGCCUAAUACAUGCAAGUCGAACGGUCUUUCUAUGGAAGCUUGCUUCCACUGAGAAGAUAGUGGCGAACGGGUGAGUAACACGUGGGUAACCUGCCCAUAAGAGGGGGGAUAACAUCCGGAAACGGGUGCUAAUACCGCAUAGUUUUCUUGAUCGCAUGAUCGGGAAAGGAAAGACGGCCUUUGUGCUGUCGCUUAUGGAUGGACCCGCGGCGUAUUAGUUAGUUGGUGAGGUAACGGCUCACCAAGACGAUGAUACGUAGCCGACCUGAGAGGGUGAUCGGCCACAUUGGGACUGAGACACGGCCCAAACUCCUACGGGAGGCAGCAGUAGGGAAUCUUCCGUAAUGGACGAAAGUCUGACGGAGCAACGCCGCGUGAGUGAAAGAAGGUUUUCGGAUCGUAAAACUCUGUUGUCAGAGAAGAACAAGUUGGAGAGUAACUGCUCCAGCCUUGACGGUAUCUGACCAGAAAGCCACGGCUAACUACGUGCCAGCCGCCGC
rnacentral:rRNA from 1 species